rnacentral:rRNA from 1 species
AUACGGAGGGGGUUAGCGUUGUUCGGAAUUACUGGGCGUAAAGCGCACGUAGGCGGAUCAGAAAGUUGGGGGUGAAAUCCCAGGGCUCAACCCUGGAACUGCCCUCAAAACUCCUGGUCUUGAGUUCGAGAGAGGUGAGUGGAAUUCCAAGUGUAGAGGUGAAAUUCGUAGAUAUUUGGAGGAACACCAGUGGCGAAGGCGGCUCACUGGCUCGAUACUGACGCUGAGGUGCGAAAGUGUGGGGAGCAAACAGGAUUAGAUACCCUGGUAGUCCACACCGUAAACGAUGAAUGCCAGACGUCGGGCAGUAUACUGUUCGGUGUCACACCUAACGGAUUAAGCAUUCCGCCUGGGGAGUACGGUCGCAAGAUUAAA